UACGUAGGGUCCGAGCGUUGUCCGGAAUUAUUGGGCGUAAAGAGCUCGUAGGCGGUUUGUCGCGUCUGCUGUGAAAUCCCGAGGCUCAACCUCGGGCCUGCAGUGGGUACGGGCAGACUUGAGUGGUGUAGGGGAGACUGGAAUUCCUGGUGUAGCGGUGGAAUGCGCAGAUAUCAGGAGGAACACCGAUGGCGAAGGCAGGUCUCUGGGCACUUACUGACGCUGAGGCACGAAAGUGUGGGGAUCAAACAGG
rnacentral:rRNA from 1 species